rnacentral:rRNA from 2 species
GCCGCGUGAGUGAUGAAGGUUUUCGGAUCGUAAAACUCUGUUGUCAGGGAAGAACAAGUGCCGGAGUAACUGCCGGCGCCUUGACGGUACCUGACCAGAAAGCCACGGCUAACUACGUGCCAGCAGCCGCGGUAAUACGUAGGUGGCAAGCGUUGUCCGGAAUUAUUGGGCGUAAAGCGCGCGCAGGCGGUUUCUUAAGUCUGAUGUGAAAGCCCCCGGCUCAACCGGGGAGGGUCAUUGGAAACUGGGAAACUUGAGUGCAGAAGAGGAGAGUGGAAUUCCACGUGUAGCGGUGAAAUGCGUAGAGAUGUGGAGGAACACCAGUGGCGAAGGCGACUCUCUGGUCUGUAACUGACGCUGAGGCGCGAAAGCGUGGGGAGCGAACAGGAUUAGAUACCCUGGUAGUCCACGCCGUAAACGAUGAGUGCUAAGUGUUAGAGGGUUUCCGCCCUUUAGUGCUGCAGCUAACGCAUUAAGCACUCCGCCUGGGGAGUACGGUCGCAAGACUGAAACUCAAAGGAAUUGACGGGGGCCCGCACAAGCGGUGGAGCAUGUGGUUUAAUUCGAAGCAACGCGAAGAACCUUACCAGGUCUUGACAUCCUUUGCCACUUCUAGAGAUAGAAGGUUCCCCUUCGGGGGACAAAGUGACAGGUGGUGCAUGGUUGUCGUCAGCUCGUGUCGUGAGAUGUUGGGUUAAGUCCCGCAACGAGCGCAACCCUUGAUCUUAGUUGCCAGCAUUCAGUUGGGCACUCUAAGGUGACUGCCGGUGACAAACCGGAGGAA